AACUGAUACUACCUGCGGGAACCUGCGGAAGGAUCAUUAUCGUUGGGCUCGCCCAAUCGAGAUAGAACCCUUGCCUUUUCGUGUACCGCCUGUUUCCUCGGCGGGUCCGCCCGCCGAUGGACCCCCUUUAAACCCCUUUUGCAGUUGCAGUAAACGUCUAAAUUUUUGAAUAAUCAAAACUUUUAACAAUGGAUCUCU
rnacentral:misc_RNA from 1 species